rnacentral:rRNA from 1 species
GAUGAACGCUGGCUACAGGCUUAACACAUGCAAGUCGUGGGGAAACGGCAUUAUGUGCUUGCACAUUCUGGACGUCGACCGGCGCACGGGUGAGUAUCGCGUAUCCAACCUGCCCCUUACUUGGGGAUACCCCGUUGAAAGACGGCCUAAUACCCGAUGUGUUUCAUUGACGGCAUCCGAUAUGAAACAAAGGUUUUUCCGGUAAGGGAUGGGGAUGCGUCUGAUUAGCUUGUUGGCGGGGCAACGGCCCACCAAGGCGACGAUCAGUAGGGGUUCUGAGAGGAAGGUCCCCCACAUUGGAACUGAGACACGGUCCAAACUCCUACGGGAGGCAGCAGUGAGGAAUAUUGGUCAAUGGACGCAAGUCUGAACCAGCCAAGUAGCGUGCAGGAUGACGGCCCUAUGGGUUGUAAACUGCUUUUAUGUGGGAAUAAAGUGGCGCACGUGUGCGCCAUUGCAUGUACCUCAUGAAUAAGGACCGGCUAAUUCCGUGCCAGCAGCCGCGGUAAUACGGAAGGUCCGGGCGUUAUCCGGAUUUAUUGGGUUUAAAGGGAGUGUAGGCGGUCUGUUAAGCGUGUUGUGAAAUUUAGGUGCUCAACAUUUAACUUGCAGCGCGAACUGUCAGACUUGAGUACACGCAGCGCAGGCGGAAUUCAUGGUGUAGCGGUGAAAUGCUUAGAUAUCAUGAGGAACUCCGAUCGCGAAGGCAGCCUGCGGGAGUGUUACUGACGCUUAAGCUCGAAAGGUGCGGGUAUCGAACAGG